rnacentral:rRNA from 1 species
GGGGCUUUGAUGACUUGGCUAGACUGUGCUGAUUCCUUGGAAUAUUGUGCACGUCUGACGACCAAUUUCUAUUCCAAUCACCUGUGCACCUUUUUAUGAUAAUAUAGACUUGGUCAUUGAAAAUUUGCUGCGUUGUUUAACUAUGCAGCUGCUUUCUUUUAUUUCAAGUCUAUGUUUUAUCAAAUACCCCUAUUUGUAUGUUUAUUUUUGUAAGGUGUUUGAAACCUAUAAAAUACAACUUUCAACAACGGAUCUCUUGGCUCUCGCAUCGAUGAAGAACGCAGCCAUUUUUUUCGAUGACGAUUUUAAUGACCAAAAGGAGGGGACAGGGAAUCGGAAUACAAAUUGGAGUCGCACUGCCAUAUUCCUGGAAUAGCAAAUCAACCUCUUUCGUCAUAGGAUCCUCCC